rnacentral:rRNA from 1 species
AGAGUUUGAUCAUGGCUCAGAUUGAACGCCUGGCAGCAGGCUUAACACAUGCAAGUCGAGCGGUAACAGGGGGGAGCUUGCUUCCCGCUGACGAGCGGCGGACGGGUGAGUAAUGCUUAGGAAUCUGCCCAGUAGUGGGGGAUAGCCCGGGGAAACCCGGAUUAAUACCGCAUACGUCCUACGGGAGAAAGCAGGGGAUCUUCGGACCUUGCACUAUUGGAUGAGCCUAAGUCGGAUUAGCUAGUUGGUGGGGUAAAGGCCUACCAAGGCGACGAUCCGUAGCUGGUCUGAGAGGAUGAUCAGCCACAUCGGGACUGAGACACGGCCCGAACUCCUACGGGAGGCAGCAGUGGGGAAUAUUGGACAAUGGGGGCAACCCUGAUCCAGCCAUGCCGCGUGUGUGAAGAAGGCUUUCGGGUUGUAAAGCACUUUCAGUAGGGAGGAAAACCUUAUGGCUAAUACCCAUGAGGCUUGACGUUACCUACAGAAGAAGCACCGGCUAACUCCGUGCCAGCAGCCGCGGUAAUACGGAGGGUGCAAGCGUUAAUCGGAAUUACUGGGCGUAAAGCGCGCGUAGGUGGUUUGGUAAGCGAGAUGUGAAAGCCCCGGGCUUAACCUGGGAACGGCAUUUCGAACUGUCAGACUAGAGUGUGGUAGAGGGUAGUGGAAUUUCCUGUGUAGCGGUGAAAUGCGUAGAUAUAGGAAGGAACACCAGUGGCGAAGGCGGCUACCUGGACCAACACUGACACUGAGGUG